rnacentral:sRNA from 1 species
AGUUGCUCACGCAUGUUGGCCAUUCCUCCCGGUCGACGAGCAGCUGUUCCCCCUCUGGAGGUUUUGACCUUCUCACUCCCGGCCACCGUUCAAAUGCGGUGGUUUUUU